rnacentral:rRNA from 1 species
GCUACUACGUACAGCAGCCGCCGUAAUACGUAGGGGCGAGGCGUAAUCGGAAUUACUGGGCGUAAAGCGUGCGCAGGCGGUUUUGUAAGACAGGCGUGAAAUCCCCGGGCUCAACCCUGGGAACUGCGCUUGUGACUGCAUCACUCGAGUACGGCAGAGGGGGGUGGAAUUUCCACGUGUAGCAGUGAAAUGCGUAGAGAUGUGGAGGAACACCGAUGGCGAAGGCAGCCCCCUGGGCCGAUACUGACGCUCAUGCACGAAAGCGUGGGUAGCAAACAGGAUUAGAUACCCUGGUAGUCCACGCCCUAAACGAUGUCAACUAGGUGUUGGGUGGGUAAAACCAUUUAGUACCGUAGCUAACGCGUGAAGUUGACCGCCUGGGGAGUACGGCCGCAAGGUUAAAACUCAAAGGAAUUGACGGGGACCCGCACAAGCGGUGGAUGAUGUGGAUUAAUUCGAUGCAACGCGAAAAACCUUACCUACCCUUGACAUGUUCAGAAUCCCGGAGAGAUUUGGGAGUGCUCGAAAGAGAACUGGAACACAGGUGCUGCAUGGCUGUCGUCAGCUCGUGUCGUGAGAUGUUGGGUUAAGUCCCGCAACGAGCGCAACCCUUGUCGUUAAUUGCCAUCAUUUAGUUGGGCACUUUAACGAGACUGCCGGUGACAAACCGGAGGAAGGUGGGGAUGACGUCAAGUCCUCAUGGCCCUUAUGGGUAGGGCUUCACACGUCAUACAAUGGUCGGUACAGAGGGUUGCCAAGCCGCGAGGUGGAGCCAAUCCCAGAAAGCCGAUCGUAGUCCGGAUCGUAGGCUGCAACUCGCCUGCGUGAAGUCGGAAUCGCUAGUAAUCGCAGAUCAGCAUGCUGCGGUGAAUACGUUCCCGGGUCUUGUACACACCGCCCGUCACACCAUGGGAGCGGGUUCCGCCAGAAGUAGGUAGCCUAACCGCAAGGGGGGCGCUUACCACGGCGGGGUUCGUGACUGGGGUGAAGUCGUAACAAGGUAACCAAU